rnacentral:rRNA from 1 species
CGCGGCCUAUCAGCUUGUUGGUGGGGUAAUGGCCUACCAAGGCUUUGACGGGUAGCCGGCCUGAGAGGGCGACCGGCCACACUGGGACUGAGACACGGCCCAGACUCCUACGGGAGGCAGCAGUGGGGAAUAUUGCACAAUGGGCGAAAGCCUGAUGCAGCGACGCCGCGUGAGGGAUGACGGCCUUCGGGUUGUAAACCUCUUUCAGCAGGGACGAAGCGCAAGUGACUGUACCUGCAGAAGAAGCACCGGCUAACUACGUGCCAGCAGCCGCGGUAAUACGUAGGGUGCGAGCGUUGUCCGGAUUUAUUGGGCGUAAAGAGCUUGUAGGCGGCUCGUCACGUCGGGUGUGAAAACUCGCGGCUCAACCGCGAGCCUGCACCCGAUACGGGCGGGCUAGAGUUCGGCAGGGGAGACUGGAAUUCCUGGUGUAGCGGUGGAAUGCGCAGAUAUCAGGAGGAACACCGGUGGCGAAGGCGGGUCUCUGGGCCGAUACUGACGCUGAGAAGCGAAAGCGUGGGGAGCGAACAGGAUUAGAUACCCUGGUAGUCCACGCCGUAAACGUUGGGAACUAGGUGUGGGGCCCAUUCCACGGGCUCUGUGCCGCAGCUAACGCAUUAAGUUCCCCGCCUGGGGAGUACGG